rnacentral:rRNA from 1 species
UUCUUUCCUCCCGAGUGCUUGCACUCAAUUGGAAAGAGGAGUGGCGGACGGGUGAGUAACACGUGGGUAACCUACCCAUCAGAGGGGGAUAACACUUGGAAACAGGUGCUAAUACCGCAUAACAGUUUAUGCCGCAUGGCAUAAGAGUGAAAGGCGCUUUCGGGUGUCGCUGAUGGAUGGACCCGCGGUGCAUUAGCUAGUUGGUGAGGUAACGGCUCACCAAGGCCACGAUGCAUAGCCGACCUGAGAGGGUGAUCGGCCACACUGGGACUGAGACACGGCCCAGACUCCUACGGGAGGCAGCAGUAGGGAAUCUUCGGCAAUGGACGAAAGUCUGACCGAGCAACGCCGCGUGAGUGAAGAAGGUUUUCGGAUCGUAAAACUCUGUUGUUAGAGAAGAACAAGGACGUUAGUAACUGAACGUCCCCUGACGGUAUCUAACCAGAAAGCCACGGCUAACUACGUGCCAGCAGCCGCGGUAAUACGUAGGUGGCAAGCGUUGUCCGGAUUUAUUGGGCGUAAAGCGAGCGCAGGCGGUUUCUUAAGUCUGAUGUGAAAGCCCCCGGCUCAACCGGGGAGGGUCAUUGGAAACUGGGAGACUUGAGUGCAGAAGAGGAGAGUGGAAUUCCAUGUGUAGCGGUGAAAUGCGUAGAUAUAUGGAGGAACACCAGUGGCGAAGGCGGCUCUCUGGUCUGUAACUGACGCUGA